AGAACGAACGCUGGCGGCAGGCUUAACACAUGCAAGUCGAACGCCCCGCAAGGGGAGUGGCAGACGGGUGAGUAACGCGUGGGAAUCUACCCAGAACUUCGGAACAACUGAGGGAAACUUCAGCUAAUACCGGAUACGCCCUACGGGGGAAAGAUUUAUCGGUUCUGGAUGAGCCCGCGUUGGAUUAGCUAGUUGGUGGGGUAAUGGCCUACCAAGGCGACGAUCCAUAGCUGGUCUGAGAGGAUGAUCAGCCACACUGGGACUGAGACACGGCCCAGACUCCUACGGGAGGCAGCAGUGGGGAAUAUUGGACAAUGGGCGAAAGCCUGAUCCAGCCAUGCCGCGUGAGUGAUGAAGGCCUUAGGGUUGUAAAGCUCUUUCAGUAGGGAAGAUAAUGACGGUACCUACAGAAGAAGCCCCGGCUAACUUCGUGCCAGCAGCCGC
rnacentral:rRNA from 1 species